AGCCUCCUGCUUCCCAGGUGAAGCUGCAGCCACCCAGCUGUGUGUGCGGACCCGGGCAUUUCUGUGCUCUUGGGGGCCAGGGACAGGCAGGGUCCCCGCCUCCUGGGGUGCAGCUACAGCCGCCCAAGCCAUGGCUACGGACCCAAGCAUCUCUGCACUCUCCGGGCCCGGGAAGCAGCCCCUUGCCCCAGCAGGCUCAGAAGUGCCUGCUCUCACUGCCUGGCCUCUCCCGGCGCCCUCUCCGAUCUCAGAGCAAAGUUGAGGCCAAGCCCAGAUUUUGGUAGGCUGCAUUUCCAUGCUGAGGGAAUUCAUCACCACUAGACGGGACCUACAAGCAACACUCAAAGGUAUCUUAAACUUGGAAGUGAAAGGUAGAUGUUCACCAUCAUGAAGACACCUGAAAUUAUACAGAUCACUAGUAAAGCAAUUACACAAAGGAAGAGGAGAAAGGAAUCAAGUGGCACCACUUCAAAAUUCUACCAAGACGCAAAAACAGACAGAAAGAAACAAAGAAUUUAUAAAUUUUAAAUAAAAUUUUAGAUUUAUUAAAUC
rnacentral:lncRNA from 10 species